UACGUAGGGUGCGAGCGUUUGUCCGGAAUUAUUGGGCGUAAAGAGCUCGUAGGCGGUUCGGUAAGUCGAAUGUGAAAUCUCCACGCUCAACGUGGAGGGGUCAUUCGAAACUGCCGUGACUUGAGUACGGUAGGGGAGUGUGGAAUUCCCGGUGUAGCGGUGAAAUGCGCAGAGAUCGGGAGGAACACCCGUAGCGAAGGCGGCACUCUGGGCCGAUACGUGACGCUGAGGAGCGAAAGCGUGGGGAGCAACAGG
rnacentral:rRNA from 1 species